GGGAGGCAGCAGUGGGGAAUAUUGGGCAAUGGAGGAAACUCUGACCCAGCGACGCCGCGUGCGGGAUGAAGGCCUUCGGGUUGUAAACCGCUUUCAGCAGGGAAGAAGCGAAAGUGACGGUACCUGCAGAAGAAGCACCGGCUAACUAUGUGCCAGCAGCCGCGGUAAUACAUAGGGGGCCAGCGUUGUCCGGAAUUAUUGGGGGUAAAGAGCUCGUAGGUGGUUCGUCACGUCGGAUGUGAAAU
rnacentral:rRNA from 1 species